rnacentral:rRNA from 1 species
UACAGAGGGUGCAAGCGUUGUUCGGAAUUAUUGGGCGUAAAGGGUGCGUAGGCGGUGCGGUAAGUCUGUAGUGAAAUCUCUGGGCUCAACUCAGAGUCUGCUAUAGAAACUGCCGUGCUUGAGUGUGGGAGAGGUGAGUGGAAUUCCCGGUGUAGCGGUGAAAUGCGCAGAUAUCGGGAAGAACACCCGUGGCGAAGGCGGCUCUCUGGGACGGUACUGACGCUGAGACGCGAAAGCGUGGGGAGCGAACAGG